GACGAACGCUGGCGGCGUGCUUAACACAUGCAAGUCGAACGAUGAAGCCGGAGCUUGCUCUGGUGAAUUAGUGGCGAACGGGUGAGUAACACGUGAGUAACCUGCCCUUGACUCUGGGAUAACUGCUAGAAAUGGUAGCUAAUACCGGAUACGACCCUCGGAGGCAUCUCCAGGGGGUGGAAAGAAUUUCGGUCAAGGAUGGACUCGCGGCCUAUCAGCUAGUUGGUGAGGUAACGGCUCACCAAGGCGACGACGGGUAGCCGGCCUGGGAGGGUGUCCGACAGCACUGGGGCUGGGACACUGCCCAAGCUCCUACGGGAGGCAGCAGUGGGGAGUAUUGCAGAAAGGGCGCAAGCCUGAUGCAGCACCGCCGCGUGAGGGAUGACGGCCUUCGGGUUGUAAACCUCUUUUAGUAGGGAAGAAGCGAAAGUGACGGUACCUGCAGAAAAAGCACCGGCUAACUACGUGCCAGCAGCCGCCGUAA
rnacentral:rRNA from 1 species